AUGAACGCUAGCGGCAGGCUUAACACAUGCAAGUCGAGGGGUAUGGGAAGCUUGCUUCCCAGAGACCGGCGCACGGGUGCGUAACGCGUAUGCAAUCUACCUUUUACAGAGGGAUAGCCCAGAGAAAUUUGGAUUAAUACCUCAUGGUAUUAUAGGAUGGCAUCAUUCUAUAAUUAAAGUCACAACGGUAAAAGAUGAGCAUGCGUCCCAUUAGCUAGUUGGUAAGGUAACGGCUUACCAAGGCGACGAUGGGUAGGGGUCCUGAGAGGGAGAUCCCCCACACUGGUACUGAGACACGGACCAGACUCCUACGGGAGGCAGCAGUGAGGAAUAUUGGACAAUGGGCGCAAGCCUGAUCCAGCCAUGCCGCGUGCAGGAUGACGGUCCUAUGGAUUGUAAACUGCUUUUGUACAGGAAGAAACCCUGGCUCGUGAGCCAGAUUGACGGUACUGUAAGAAUAAGGAUCGGCUAACUCCGU
rnacentral:rRNA from 1 species